rnacentral:rRNA from 1 species
GACGAACGCUAGCGGCGUGCUUAACACAUGCAAGUCGAACGGAAAGGCCCUGCUUUUGUGGGGUGCUCGAGUGGCGAACGGGUGAGUAACACGUGAGUAACCUGCCCUUGACUUUGGGGUAACUUCAGGAAACUGGGGCUAAUACCGGAUAGGAGCUCCUGCUGCAUGGUGGGGGUUGGAAAGUUUCGGCGGUUGGGGAUGGACUCGCGGCUUAUCAGCUUGUUGGUGGGGUAGUGGCUUACCAAGGCUUUGACGGGUAGCCGGCCUGAGAGGGUGACCGGCCACAUUGGGACUGAGAUACGGCCCAGACUCCUACGGGAGGCAGCAGUGGGGAAUAUUGCACAAUGGGCGGAAGCCUGAUGCAGCAACGCCGCGUGCGGGAUGACGGCCUUCGGGUUGUAAACCGCUUUCGCCUGUGACGAAGCGUGAGUGACGGUAAUGGGUAAAGAAGCACCGGCUAACUACGUG